AAGAAUCGAUUUAAGAAAAAAACAAAAUAACGACACGACAACGAUGCAUAAUAACUCAAAUUAACUAGCCAACUAAAUUCAACCUGUCAACAUACCAAGUUCACCAACAUGAAUAAAAAUACAAGUUCAACAAUAUGAAUAAAAAUAUAAGUUCAACACGAGCAAAUAUCUAGUAAUUCAUAAGUUCAAAAACAUGAACACCAUAAAUCAAACUCUCAAGCUAGAGGGGCCGGUACAACUUUCCACGGGUGCAUUUGAAGCUUGUUGAGUAUGAUCAUGUGAAGCUUCCAUUUAAUCUACAAAAAUUAAGAUACAAGUCCAACAGAUAAGUACAAUUCCAGCAGAUCUAGCAAUUAGCAAGUAUUUCAAUAAAUUAAGAACAAAUCCAAUAUAUGAUACCACAAUUAUUUCUGAAGAAUCAGAACUAAUUCCAAG
rnacentral:lncRNA from 1 species